rnacentral:rRNA from 1 species
CCCUGGUAGUCCACGCCGUAAACGGUGGAUGCUGGAUGUGGGGACCAUUCCACGGUCUCCGUGUCGGAGCCAACGCGUUAAGCAUCCCGCCUGGGGAGUACGGCCGCAAGGCUAAAACUCAAAGAAAUUGACGGGGGCCCGCACAAGCGGCGGAGCAUGCGGAUUAAUUCGAUGCAACGCGAAGAACCUUACCUGGGCUUGACAUGUUCCCGACGGUCGUAGAGAUACGGCUUCCCUUCGGGGCGGGUUCACAGGUGGUGCAUGGUCGUCGUCAGCUCGUGUCGUGAGAUGUUGGGUUAAGUCCCGCAACGAGCGCAACCCUCGCCCUGUGUUGCCAGCACGUCAUGGUGGGAACUCACGGGGGACCGCCGGGGUCAACUCGGAGGAAGGUGGGGAUGACGUCAGAUCAUCAUGCCCCUUACGUCCAGGGCUUCACGCAUGCUACAAUGGCCGGUACAACGGGAUGCGACGCGGCGACGCGGAGCGGAUCCCUGAAAACCGGUCUCAGUUCGGAUCGCAGUCUGCAACUCGACUGCGUGAAGGCGGAGUCGCUAGUAAUCGCGAAUCAGCAACGUCGCGGUGAAUGCGUUCCCGGGCCUUGUACACACCGCCCGUCAAGUCAUGAAAGUGGGUAGCACCCGAAGCCGGUGGCCCAACCUUUUGGGGGGAGCCGUCUAAGGUGAGACUCGUGAUUGGGACUAAGUCGUAACAAGGUAGCCGUACCGGAAGGUGCGGCUG